rnacentral:tRNA from 1 species
GCCUGGGUGGCUCAGUCGGUUGAGCAUCUGACUUCAGCUCAGAUCAUGAUCUUGCAGUUCGUGAGUUCCAGCUCUGUGUCAGGCU